GGCUUGUGAUGAAAGACUGGAUGUUACAUGCACUGAACACACUGUGUUGAUCACAUCCAUUACUGCCUUCCUUCUGAAGCU